rnacentral:rRNA from 1 species
AUGGUUGAGAGGGAAAAACCGAAGGAUAUCGCCCCCCUCAUCUUCGCAGCCUCCAAGCGGAAGAAGUGCGUGGUGAGGGAUGCACUGCGAGAAAAUGCUUGGGUGCGCCAGAUCAACCCUUCCAUCAACCUAACGACCAACCACAUCGUGGAGUUCGUGGACCUUUGGGCCCAUCUGGACCAAUUCGAGCCUUCACCAGAGAUUGAUGACGACAUAUCCUGGAAAUUUGAGGCGAACGGUGAGUAUUCGACGGCCUCUACUUAUAGGGUCCAGGUCUUGGGCUCCAUGACGACGACCAUGAACAAGACUAUUUGGAAGGUUUGGGCACCUCCCAAGGUCAAGUUCUUCUCCUGUCUAGCGAUUCAAAACAGAAUAUGGACGGCGGAUAGAUUGGAGAAGCGAGGUUGGGAGAAUUGCGGACUGUGCACCCUCUGCAGAAGGGCAAACAAGACGUCCGUGCACCUCUUCUUUCGGUGCAGGUUCACCUUGCGCGUGUGGAGAUUGGUAAAGGAGUGGCUUGGCCUAGGGGCUCUCGAGAUCCAUCAAUGGCAGGCGGAGCGCAAUAUCAAGCAUUGGUGGACAAACAUGUCGAAGCCCAAUACGGCGAACCGGAAGGCCAUGGCUUCCCUUACUAUGCUUGUUGGUUGGGCCAUUUGGAACGAGAGA